UACGUAGGGUGCAAGCGUUAAUCGGAAUUACUGGGCGUAAAGCGUGCGCAGGCGGUUUUGUAAGUCUGUUGUGAAAUCCCCGGGCUUAACCUGGGAACUGCGUUUCUAACUGGCAGGCUUGAGUGUGGCAGAGGGGGGUGGAAUUCCACGUGUAGCAGUGAAAUGCGUAGAGAUGUGGAGGAACACCGAUGGCGAAGGCAGCCCCCUGGGCUAACACUGACGCUCAUGCACGAAAGCGUGGGGAGCAAACAGG
rnacentral:rRNA from 1 species